rnacentral:rRNA from 1 species
UACAGAGGAGCCAAGCGUUGUCCGGAUUGACUGGGCGUAAAGCGCACGCAGGCGGACGCGCGCGUGGGGUGUGAAAUCUGGCCGCUUAACGGCCAGGCGCCAUCCCAUACGGCGUGUCUGGAGUGAUGCAGAGGUCGGUGGAAUUGCCGGUGUAGUGGUGAAAUGCGUAGAGAUCGGCAGGGACACCCAGGGGGAAACCAGCCGACUGGGCAUCUACUGACGCUGAGGUGCGAGAGCGUGGGGAGCGAACCGG